AUUCAACUGAUGAAUUCCAAACAAGAUGAAACGUGCGUCAAAUUGGAU
rnacentral:hammerhead_ribozyme from 1 species